rnacentral:lncRNA from 1 species
AAAGGAGAUCGGAUCGGAUCUACAGGGCUGGUUGGAUGACCUCACUGAUGGGGGUGUUGAGUACAUGCCUGAAGACGAAGUGAAGGUGGCUGCUGCGGAGAGGCUUAGGAUCUCGAUGGAACGGAUAGCCUUGCUAAAGGCAGCCCAACCUAAGAGAAAGAUUCCCAAAUCUGAUGAUGAAGAAGACGAAGAAGAAGAUGAAAGCGACGAAGAAGAUGAGGACAAAGUCAAGAAAAACAAGGAAAAGAAAAAAGAUGGCGAGGAAAAUGGAAAACCAAAGGGACCUACAACCCUGUCGAAGUUGACAGCAGAGGAGGCCGAACACCGUGCUCUUCAAACAGCAGUGCUCCAAGAGUGGCAUACGUUGUGCAAGGAUAGAAGUGCUAAAGUUAAUUGAUGGACCGACAAAAGAAGGGAGCACCACCAAUCUCUUUCCGAAUGAAUCUAACAGCCGGGAAUCGCCCUUGCAUUUCGCUGCUUAACACGUUUGGGAUAUCAAUGAACAGAGUUAACUUUGCUCCGUGUGGACUGCAUCCAAAUCCACCACUCAUGCGCUUGCACAGGUGAGUCUGUGAGGUGGUCACUGACAACUAACCAUGUGUGUAACUCCAAGGUUUUGAAUGCUUGGCAGAUGCUUGCGAUUUCCACCGGAUUUGUUCGCUUUCGGCUAAAUUCAACGGUCACUUGCCCCGGUCUCGUCGUACUUUUCUUCACACCUUCAAUCCCGGAUCGUGCGUUAACUGAGGCUUUCUAGUAGAAGUAGAUGUUAAAUUUUAGGAAAUUAGUUUGGUGUUUGUGUGAAAAUUGUGCGAUUAAACUGGGGUUUGUCUCUCUUCCCCCUAUAUUUUUGUAUUUUCUGUUUCUUGGCCCAUUGUUCAUCAUUGAAUUAUACAGGAGAGAGUUUCAAUUCUUCAUGUUGUAAAACAAUUUUUGUAAAAUUUGAGAAUAAUGUAUUUUCAUUUAGACCAUGCAUUCCAAUUGAUUCCUGAUUCCAUUCUAAAUCGACGUUUGAAUUGUUGGACUUGGCGUGGUCCUUGUAAACAAAACGAGGAUUCCGAAUAAAUUUCGGUGUAUUGAGACAUAUCAAUCUUGUCGUUUACCCAUAUAACAAGUUGAGUUUUGUGACGAAGAACAUGAUUUACAAGGAUCACGAAGCAAAAAGAUUGUACAAGGCCCUCCUACUUCUCAUGAAAAUGAUUGCAUUCAUAGUUUUUUCAGACCUGGAUCCUCUCCGAGGCAAACCCUCGGAAUCCUACUGAGCGACAAACACGGGCCGUUGGAUUUAAAUCCAACGGCAACAAAUAGAGUCCCUCUUAAAGUUAGAAUAAUUGUAACCAUUGGAUCGAAAUCCAACGACCCAUGUUUAUCGCUCAGCAGGAUCCCGAGGGUUUGCCUCGGAGAGGAUCCAGUUCCAAUUUCUUCUAUAUUCUAUUACGUACGUGUUGAAAGUUUCAAAAGCACACAUGCCUGCAUGUAUUAUUAUUCAACUUAAUUUCUGAUGAUGUUACACAGUCAAAGGAAGGGAUACUGAAACUCGAUCUCCACCGUCAGUUUAAUGUAUAUAAUGAACGGACGGCAUCUAACCAAAUUGGUGACAACAUAGGGAUGAAACCUUGACUUUUCAGCACUGGCAUCAUGGGAUUAGGAUAUGAUAAUUUUCCAUGGCUGCUAAGCCUCACUGUGUGUGUGUAUAUAUAUAGAGGUUCUGCAUCGUCCUUCAUUCACAGCCAGUCUUACACAUACAUCAAGUUAACAAUUUUCUUCAUAUUUUCUUCCUUCUAUUUGCUCAAAAUGGUGAGUUUGUGUUGUUCAUUUUUCAAGAUUUUAUUGUUAAUUAUUAUUAUUAUUUUUCAAAUGGGAGUGCCUACUUGAAUUUGUGGGUCCCAUCACAAAAAUAUUAGAGGCGUACUAUGGAAAAGGAUCCUCUUCAGAUCCUCUUUGUGAGGAUCCGGAAGAUCAAUCAAUCAUGUUCGUUCAUUAUAUAUUGUGUGGUCAUUAUCUUCAAUAUAUAUAGGGUUAAAAUAUAUGACUAAAAAAUUAUAUUAUUCAGUCUCAAUUUUUUUUUUUCUUUUAAAUAUUGGCUGACAUUUUGACUUGCUAUUGCUUCUCUCUGCAUUUGGUGGGAAGCAGGCUCUUUCACUCACUAUUGAGGUAUGGCUAUUCCUCUUUAUUUUAUUUUAUUUCUUUUUUCUUUUCCUUUUCUAUCUUAUUUAUUUUAAGGAACUAAAAUUUUCUCUGUGUUUCAACAUUAACUUCAAUAUAUUUUUUACCAGAAAGAAUUUGCUCAAAACUCAGAAAGAAUUAAGUCUGUGGAUCUACAUCCAACUGAGCCAUGGUAAUUGCUUGUCUUGGCAAUUCUGUUUAUGUCUUCUGCAUCUCCUCGUUUUGAUUUUUUUUUUCAUAUUCUUACCCUAAACCCUAAAUCCUAAUUGAUGCGAGUGCAACCUUCUGCUAUCCACUUUCGAUUUCGUGUACGUUAAUUGCUUGAAUUCUAAAAAUGCAACAUAAUCAAAGCUUGUUGGUAAUGUUUUUCAUGUAGGGUUCUGGUCAGUUUGUAUUCAGGCGCUGUUUGUAUCUGGAAUUACCAAUCACAGACCAUGGAGAAGUCCUUCAAGGUCACUGAAUCACCAGGUACAUUAUUUUCUUUCAUAUGUUCUUGUUGCGUGCCUACCGAAGUUUCUCUCAUUGACAGAUAUGACUUUGCGUCUAAAUUUUGUUUACAUGUGCUUGCAGUCAGGUCAGCAAAGUUUGUAGCACGCGAACACUGGAUAGUAACCGCAGCUGAUGACACAUUUAUUCGCGUCUACAACUAUGACACGACGGAAAAGAUCAAAGAGUUUGAAGCACAUACAGAUUAUAUCAGGAGUGUGACUGUCCAUCCUACUCUACCUUAUCUCUUGUCAUGCUCGGACGACAACGUUAUAAAGCUUUGGGAUUGGGAGAAGGAUUGGUCAUGCACUCAGAUCUUCGAGGGACAUUCUCACUAUGUGAUGCAAGUGGCGUUCAAUCCACGACGCCAAUACUUUCUCUAGUGCGUCUCUUGAUGGUACAGUCAAGGUAUUGCAAGGAUUGUUAUUUGUACAAACUUAACCGUAAAAUUUUCAGUGUCAUGACUUCUGUGACACUCUGUGACACUCAUAUACUUUUACAGGUAUGGAGGAUUGGGUCCGCUGCCCCGGAGUUUACAUUAGAGGGCCACUUAAAAGGAGUGAAUUGCGUUGAUUACUUCCUUCGCGACAAUAAAACAUAUCUAUUGAGUGGCUCUGACGAUUUUACUGUCAAGGUUUGUGAAUAAAUGCUUGUUAUAUAUAUGGUGAUCAUGUUAGUAUAUGCAUGCAUAUGAAUUUGAAUAUAUUAUGUCAAUGCAGGUAUGGGACUGUGAAACCAAAAGCUGUGUGCAAACCCUAGAAGGCCAUGAGCACAAUGUAACAGCUGUAUGUGUUCAUCCUGAGCUUCCCAUAAUAAUCACAGCUUCUGAGGACGGGAAUGUUCACAUUUGGCAUGCAACCACUUUUAGGUAACCGUCUUUUAUGAUUCAAAAUAUUUACACCAGAAAAGCAGUUAACUCGAUUUCUGUUGACGUCUUCGUUUUGUAAUCCAUUCUUAUGUCUUGCAGGCUAGAAAAGAGACUGAGCUACGAUCUCGAAAGAGUUUGGGCCAUCGCACACUCGGAAGGAUCAGACAAGUGAGUUUUUACCUUCUUUUUUUUUUUUUUGUUUGUUAUUAGGGUUCGUUUUGUUGUGGCAUGUUGAUUGAUAACCAGUGAUAUAAAUUGAUUUCGUACUACUGCAGGGUUGCAUUUGGAUUUGACAACGGAACAGUUGUAGUUAAAAUGAAUGGUUAUGUUGAUCUCCAAGCUUAGAAGGAAAGGUUGAAGGAAUAAAAGACAUCUAGGGAUCAUGUGAUUAAUACCUUGUCAAUAAAUGAUUUCGACGCACAAUACUGUUAUACUUGCUGACACAUUCUCUAAUAUAAGCGGAUUUCACCAUUAUAUGCAAGUUUCAUAUUGUCAAGUGUGUCGGCAAGUGUGUUAGUUUUGUAUGUCUAAAUAGUGUCAUUUGUACCGCAUACGUUAGAGGAAUUAUCCCAAGAACUUUACAGUGUUACUCUUAUUAUUGUAUUAUAUGUAUCAAUAAAACUAUAAAGAAUGUUUCGAAUGAUCCCUGAGGUUGACAUAACUCUUUACUUUGACAUCUGAGUUUUUUUUUUUCUUUUGAAUCGUUUGACAUAACUCUUUACUUUGACCCCUGGGUUUUUUUUCUUUCUUUUGAAUCGUUUGAGAUACAAAAUUAUACCUGAAUUUUUUCAUUGAUUCCGAAACAAAAGUUCGUGGCAUGAAGUAAUACCAUGUAAAAAUAAUCAGAUAUUUUACAAAUAAAAUCCAGAAAUCACAACCCUGUUACAUAUUUCAACUACGCCUUUAUAACGUAUUUUCUUAGGGACUUAUACAGCAGAGUAGAGUAUAAUAAUCUAGUCAGACGAUACAUACGAAGAUUAGAUGUUCCUACGGUUAAUACCCCUGAUUACAACAAUAAGAAUGAUCAUGCAUUUAGCAAACACAUUUAUGCACCAGAUGUAGAACCCUAAUAUCACAUCUGCCACCAAUUACGACUUGAACAAUAAUCCCCUGAAUUUACGUUGCUCUUUCGAAACUACCACCAACCUGGAGAAAUUUUUAGUUGUGACGAGAACACAAGUGGUACACCAUGUGUUUUAAUAGGAGUGGUGGGAAAUGUUAUUUUUUAAGUUAUUAACUUUUUAGCACACAUAUCCCACAAUUUGUAUAGUGACACGUGGUGUACCAUCCCGUGUACCGAUCACACUGAAAAAUCUCUCCACCAACCUAUGUAGCCAUUCGGGCUGUGAGCUUUGGGCGUACUCCCUUGGUGUGUCCGAACAGUGGCAGGAUUUCAGGUAUUGUCUCUCGCUCUUUAUUACUAUGUGAUUUACAUCUCUCUUUCGUUAUUCGUUAUAUGCUCUAUUAUGGAAGUUCUAUACCAUGUGGACUGAUUGCAAAUGUAACUGGUAAGCCAAGCUUGGCAAAUCAUGGCCUUACCUUACUUUGUUAGGAAUGUCGGUACAAGCCAAAGACAAGGCUUGAUGGAUACAAGAAAGUAUAACACACACUUUCUAUCACUCUAAACUUCACUCACACAAUGUGUAGUGGAACACUCUCACUCUCACUCUUGGAGUGGAACUCUAGCUUUGGACUUGAUCCUUUGCUACUCACUCUUAGUUCUUUAUUGGUUACAUCACACCCAUAUUUAUAGGUGAGGGCUUGGCAUUCUACUAGUUUCUAGUUCCUUCUUCAAACCUCUAGUAUAGAAAAAUCUAGACUAGCCACAUACUUGUAGCUUCUAGAUCUUUCCAUUUGCAACCAAGGAAGCUAGUACUCUCUAGCUUCUUCCAUCAACUUAAUAACAUGCUAGAAUUGUCUAGCAAGCUCCAGCCUCAUCUCUUGCUUACUAGAAUAAUCUAGAACAUUGAUCAUGGGCUGGACCAUAUACCAACAAUCUCCCCCUCCAGUCCAUGAGGGAGGAAUUCCGAUCAUGACUCCAAGUUACCUGGAGUUCAUCCCAGCAGCUUUAAUGCAGAAUUCCAACUUUGAUUUUGUGACUACCUUUGUCAACAUGUCUGAAGAAUUAUUAUCGGUAUGAAUCUUCUUCAGCUGCAGCAACUUGUUCUCGAUAGCGUCUCUAAUCCAGUGAUAACGAAUAUCAAUGUGCUUAGUGCGUGAAUGAUAUGUAGUGUUCUUGCUCAAGUCCAGAGCACUCUGACUAUCACAAUAAAUGCCAUAAUCACUUUGCUUCAAACCCAACUCUUGGAGAAACUGCUUCAGCCACAACAACUCCUUGCAUGCUUCUGUAGCGGCUAUGUAUUCAGCCUCGGUUGUGGACAAAGCAACACACUUUUGCAACUUGGAUUGCCAAGACACGGCUCCCCCGGCAAAAGUGAACAAGUACCCAGAUGUAGAUUUUCUACCAUCCAGGUCACCUCCCAUGUCAGCAUCUGUAAAUCCUUCCAAGAUUGGUUUGGAACCGCCAAAGCACAAGCACAUCUUAGAAGUCCCCUUCAAAUAUCUGAGAAUCCACUUAACGGCUUCCCAGUGGUCCUUCCCUGGAUUAGAGAGAAACCUGCUCACCACACCUACUGCAUGAGCAAUAUCUGGUCGUGUGCACACCAUUGCAUACAUGAUACUUCCUACUGCUGAAGAGUAGGGAACAACUGCCAUUUUCUCUUUUUCUUCAUAUGUUUUUUGGACACGACUCUUUGCUCAACUUGAUAUGAUUGGCUAAAGGUGAGCUUACCGGUUUGGCUGCUUUCAUGUUGAACCUUUCAAGCACCCGUUCAACAUACUUUUCUUGUGACAGCCACAACUUCUUGGAUUUUCUGUCACGAAUUAUCUCCAUGCCCAAAAUCUGCUUGGCUGGCCCUAAGUCCUUCAUGUCAAAGGACUUAGAUAACUCUUCUUUGAGCUUUUUAAUCAUAGAAGCAUCUUGUCCGACAAUCAACAUGUCAUCAACAUAAAGCAAUAAGAUGAUGAAUGUACCUCCAGAAAAUUGUUUGAUAUAGACACAAGAGUCAGCAUGAGUUCUCUUGUACCCAUUACUCACCAUGAAUGAGUUGAACUUCUUAUUCCACUGUCUCGGAGCCUGCUUAAGACCAUAUAAACUUUUCUUGAGCUUGCACACCAAAUUUUCUUUACCUUUGACUUCAAAGCCUUUGGGUUGCUCCAUGUCCUCUUCUAAAUUGCCGUGGAGAAAUGCAGUUUUAACAUCUAACUGCUCGAGCUCAAGAUCCAUGCUUGCUGCCAUACCAAGGAUAACUCGAAUGGAAGUCAUCUUCACCACCGGUGAGAAAAUCUCAUCAAAGUCAACUCCUUUCUUUUGACCAAAACCUUUGACAACCAAACGAGCCUUGUACCUUGUCAUGUUGUCGUCUCUUUUCAAUUUGAACACCCACUUGUUUUUCAAUGCUUUCCUGCCCUUUGGAAGCUCCACCAGCUCAUAGGUAUCAUUCUUUGAUAAGGAAUCCAUCUCCGACUCCAUUGCCUUCAUCCAUUUGUCACUGUCGUUAUGAGCUCUGGCCUCCUCAUAUGUUUCGGGCUCUCCAUAAUUAGUCAACAUGAUAUACUCUGAUGAAGAAUACUUGGUAGACGGUCUUCGACUUCUGAUGGAUCUUCUGACCUGAUCUUCAUUCUCUUGUAGGGCUGGAGGCUCCCCCUGAUUGGGUUCUCCUUGAAUCUGCUCUUCUUGACUAGGCUCCCCCUGAUCAGCAAUCUCAUGGUUUGGCACAUCUUGAUCAGGCUCCUCUUGAUUAGCAUUAUCUGAUUCUGCAAGCACUUCAUUGGCAGUUGCUUCAGGGAUGUCAUCGUGACUUUCUUCAUCUGAAGCUAAUGGAUCAACUCCUCUGACUGCGCCAUCUGGUUGUGCCUCUUUAUCCGAAUCCCCAAUUGUUUGUUCUUCAUAAAAGACCACGUCUCUACUUCGGAUAAACUUCUUCUGGUAUGGGUCCCAUAAUCUGUAACCAAAAUCUUCACCGCCAUAACCAAGAAAGAUGCACGGUGUAGCUUUGUAGUCUAACUUCGAUCUCUGCUCUUUGGGCACAUGCACAAAAGCUUUGCAACCAAACACCUUCAGAUGAGAGUAAGACACAUCAUUACCAAUCCAUACUCUCUCUGGAACAUCAAGACCUAAUGGUACUGAUGGAGAUCGGUUGAUCAAAUAGCAGGCUGUCCUUACAGCUUCACCCCAGAACUGCUUAGAUAACUUUGCAGUCCUCAACAUACACCUGACUUUCUCCAUGAUGGUUCGGUUCAUUCUUUCAGCAACACCGUUAUGUUGUGGAGUUCCAGGAACUGUCUUCUCAUGACGUAUGCCAUGUUUUACACAAUACUCUCUAAACUGGUGAGAUGUGUACUCGCCGCCGUUUGUCGCUACGAAGGCACUUGAGAGGUUUCCCAGUUUCCCUCUCCACCAUGGCAUGGAACUCCUGGAAUGUCUGAAACACCUGGUCUUUGGAUUUCAACAAAUACACCCACACCCUUCGUGAAGCAUCAUCAAUAUAAGUAACAAAAUAUUUAUUUCUUCCAAGUGACUCGACUUCCAUGGGACCACACACAUCUGAAUAAACAAGAUCUAACAAGUUUCCUUUCUUUGUAGAUGGAACAGAAAAACUAACUCUUCUUUGUUUUCCGAAUAAACAAUGCUCACAAGAGUUUAACGACGUACCUUCGGUAAAGGGAAUGUGAGACUUCUUUGCCAAAACUUGUAGGCCUUUCUCGCUUAUGUGCCUAUGGCCUAGCCUCUUAUGCCAUAAGUCUAGAGAUGAGUCCUCCACAGCAUUCAACUCACCUUUCAAAACCUUGGCAUUUGACCGGUACAACGUACAACAAAGUCGUGCUCUUGCUACCACCAUUAAGCCUUUAGUAAGCUUCAAUUUUCCUUCGCCAAUAUGGUGAUAAUAUCCUUGUCGAUCAAGGGUACCGAUGGAUAUCAGAUUGAGACGUAUAUCAGGAAUAUGUCUCACAUCUUUCAACAUCAAUUGGCAGCCGAGAUUAGUUCUUAGACAUAUAUCACCAAUUCCAAGAAUUUUGGAAUAGCUUUCAUUCCCCAUCUUCACUAUGCCAAAGUCACCUUCUUUGUAUGUACUGAAGAACUCCCGUUUGGACGUAGCAUGGAAGGAAGCUCCAUUGUCAAAGAUCCAUUCAAUGUCUCUGUCAGAGUUGCCCAUAUGCAGACAUUCACCAACAGACAAUAUUUCUGGUACAUCACCACAUAUGACAGCAGUGGUAUUGCCAGUAUCAUCUUUUCUUCUGAUUGUUUCCUUCCCUUUGCUCUCUCUUCCAAACUCGACAAUUUUUCUUCAUAUGGCCUUCUUUGCCACAGUGGUGGCAUGCACCCCUGAACUUUGACUUGGAUCGGCUAGGACUCCUGCCAUGACCUCUAGGCCCUCUACUUUUGCUUCUUCCGCGGUUCUCUGUGACAAAUACUUGGCUGCUAUCUGUGCCAGAAGUCUUUCUCUUUGUUUCUUCAUUGAGCAUGCUAUUUUUAACAUUAUCAAGAGUAAGAACACCAUUAGAAGCAGAGUUACUUAUACUCACCACAAAGGUCUCCCAACUGUCUGGCAAGGAUCCAAGUAACAAGAGCGCUUGUAGCUCGUCCUCGAUCGUCAUUUUCAUAGUAGCCAACUGGUUGAUGAUAUUCUGGAAAUUGUUCAAGUGUUCUGCUACACUUAAACCAUCCUUGUACUUCACAUUGAUGAGCUCUUUGAUCAAGAAGGCUUUCUUGGCUGGGGUCUUCUUCUCGAACAAGGACUCAAGCUUCGUCCAAAACUCGCGAGCAUUGGUUUCAUUAGACACAUGGUGAAAAACACUAUCAUCCACCCAUUGUCUAAUUGUGCCAAUAGCCUUGCGAUUCAUCUUCUUCCACUCGGCAUCGGACAUGCUCUCGGGCUUAGCGGCAUCUCCUUCAAUUGGCUCAUGCAAAUCCUUGCAAUAGAGAAUGUCCUCCAUCCUUGGCUUCCAUGUUACCCAAUUGGAGUUGGUGAGUUUGAUCAUAGUGCCACUUCCUUCCAUCUCGUAGUACGAGCCAACCGGGCUCUGAUACCACUUGUUAGGAAUGUCGGUACAAGCCAAAGACAAGGCUUGAUGGAUACAAGAAAGUAUAACACACACUUUCUAUCACUCUAAACUUCACUCACACAAUGUGUAGUGGAACACUCUCACUCUCACUCUUGGAGUGGAACUCUAGCUUUGGACUUGAUCCUUUGCUACUCACUCUUAGUUCUUUAUUGGUUACAUCACACCCAUAUUUAUAGGUGAGGGCUUGGCAUUCUACUAGUUUCUAGUUCCUUCUUCAAACCUCUAGUAUAGAAAAAUCUAGACUAGCCACAUACUUGUAGCUUCUAGAUCUUUCCAUUUGCAACCAAGGAAGCUAGUACUCUCUAGCUUCUUCCAUCAACUUAAUAACAUGCUAGAAUUGUCUAGCAAGCUCCAGCCUCAUCUCUUGCUUACUAGAAUAAUCUAGAACAUUGAUCAUGGGCUGGACCAUAUACCAACAUACUUAUCCUGCUAACAGCUGGAAGAAAGAACUUAUAAAAUCCAGCCGAACUUGGGCAUAAAUUAUAAACUUGAAAAAGUAGAAUUGGCAAUCAAUUCGAGUAGAUAUUAUAUGCAAGUAUCCUUAAUGCAACUGGUAUCUUGGCGAGAUGUAAUUUGUUGAACCUUUAAUGGUAGUGCUUUGGCCUUCUAAUCAACCAUACAAUAUUGAUGUUGAAUUCUUUGUCCUGAAACAGCUGUGUUUUACUGCAAAAACCUGGUAUGGUGGCUUCUUGGGCCUGAUGAUCUUUGGAGCUAGUGAAGUGGUGGGGGUGUUGAGUACAUGCCUGAAGACGAAGUGAAGGUGGCUGCCGCGGAGAGGCUUAGGAUCUCGAUGGAACGGAUAGCCUUGCUAAAGGCAGCCCAACCUAAGAAAAAGAUUCCCAAAUCUGAUGAUGACGAAGACGAAGAAGAAGAGGAUGAAAGCGACGAAGAUGGGGACAAAAUCAAGAAAAAGAAGGAAAAGAAAAAAAUGGCGGAAAAUGGAAAACCAAAGGGACCUACAACCCUGUCGAAGUUGACAGCAGAGGAGGCCGAACACCGUGCUCUUCAAACAGCAGUGCUCCAAGAGUGGCAUACGUUGUGCAAGGAUAGAAG